rnacentral:tRNA from 1 species
GGUGAAAGUAGCUUAGCAGGUAGAGCAUGGGUUUGUGGAACCAAAGGCCGAGAGUUCAAGUCUCUUUUUUCACC